rnacentral:rRNA from 1 species
UAUGCAAUCUACCUUUUGCAGAGGGAUAGCCCAGAGAAAUUUGGAUUAAUACCUCAUAGUAUAGUGAUACCGCAUGGUGCUACUAUUAAAGUCACAACGGCAAAAGAUGAGCAUGCGUCCCAUUAGCUAGUUGGUAAGGUAACGGCUUACCAAGGCCACGAUGGGUAGGGGUCCUGAGAGGGAGAUCCCCCACACUGGUACUGAGACACGGACCAGACUCCUACGGGAGGCAGCAGUGAGGAAUAUUGGACAAUGGGCGCAAGCCUGAUCCAGCCAUGCCGCGUGCAGGAUGACGGUCCUAUGGAUUGUAAACUGCUUUUAUACGAGAAGAAACAUCCCGGCGUGUCGGGACUUGACGGUAUCGUAAGAAUAAGGAUCGGCUAACUCCGUGCCAGCAGCCGCGGUAAUACGGAGGGNG